rnacentral:rRNA from 1 species
AGUGAACGCUGGCGGUAGGCCUAACACAUGCAAGUCGAACGGCAGCACAGUAAGAGCUUGCUCUUACGGGUGGCGAGUGGCGGACGGGUGAGGAAUACAUCGGAAUCUACUUUUUCGUGGGGGAUAACGUAGGGAAACUUACGCUAAUACCGCAUACGACCUACGGGUGAAAGCAGGGGAUCUUCGGACCUUGCGCGAUUGAAUGAGCCGAUGUCGGAUUAGCUAGUUGGCGGGGUAAAGGCCCACCAAGGCGACGAUCCGUAGCUGGUCUGAGAGGAUGAGCAGGCACACGGGGAAGGAGAAACGGGCAAGACCGCGAAGGGGAGCAGGAGGGGGGAAGUGGGGAAAAAGGGCGGAAGGCUUGUCCAGCCAUGCGGGGGGGGGGAAAAAGGCCCUGGGGGUGGAAACGCCUUUUUGUGGGAAAAAAAAGGAGGAAGGUAACCCCCCGUCUGUCCGACGGUACCCAAAGAAUAAGAAACGGCCAAAUUUGGG